rnacentral:tRNA from 1 species
CUCAAGAGGUAGUUUAAUUUAAAAUAUUAGUUUUGGGAAUUAAUGAUAAGGAAAUUUCUUUCUCUUGA